CCUAGCCUUUUAAUUGGAGGCCUGCAUGAAUGGCUUGACGAGCGCCCUGCUGUCUCUCUUCCCAUGAACUUUUAAAUUAACUUUCGCGUGCAAAGGCGCGAAUGGCUGAGUUAGACGAAAAGACCCUAUGCAUCUUUACUGAGAGAGAAGAAAGUUCUUUAGCUUGGUUUAGCUGGGGCAGCUGAGGAAAAGGCAAAAUUUCCUUAAUAUAAAUCAUACUGGUGGGUUUAGAUCCAGGCUCUUUAGCGGGCUUGACAAGUAGAAAAGUUACGCUAGGGAUAACAGCGUUAUCCUUCUGUGGAGGUCUUAUCUGCAGGAGGGAUUGCGACCUCGAUGUUGAAUUAGGGAUAUACCAGAAAGGCGCAGAAGCUUUUAUUGUGGGUCUGUUCCACCCUU
rnacentral:rRNA from 1 species